GGGAGCGACUUGGCUUCGACAGGAGUAAGUCUGCUUAGAUGGCAUGUCGCUUUGGGCAAAGCGUAAAAAGCCCAAAUAAAAUUAAACGCAAACAACGUUAAAUUCGCUCCUGCUUACGCUAAAGCUGCGUAAGUUCAGUUGAGCCUGAAAUUAAGUCAUACUAUCUAGCUUAAUUUUCGGUCAUUUUUGAUAGUGUAGCCUCGCGUUUGACAAGCGUUGAGGUGAAAUAAAGUCUUAGCCUUGCUUUUGAGUUUUGGAAGAUGAGCGAAGUAGGGUGAAGUAGUCAUCUUUGCUAAGCAUGUAGAGGUCUUUGUGGGAUUAUUUUUGGACAGGGGUUCGAUUCCCCUCGCUUCCACCA
rnacentral:tmRNA from 1 species